rnacentral:ncRNA from 1 species
GGCUUGCUACGGUGGGAGGAACCCGACGAGACGCGCCGUACCGGGUCACGCAAAGACGACGCACC